UCGUUCGGAGGAUAGAGGAAGUCGCCUCACGGCGGCUGGCCGUGAAAUUCUCC
rfam:Halorubrum saccharovorum strain H3 NODE_95, whole genome shotgun sequence.